rnacentral:rRNA from 1 species
CGAACUCUGGCGGCGUGCUUAACACAUGCAAGUCGAACGGAAAGGCCCUGCUUUUGUGGGGUGCUCGAGUGGCGAACGGGUGAGUAACACUUGAGUAACCUGCCCUUGACUUUGGGAUAACUUCAGGAAACUGGGGCUAAUACCGGAUAGGAGCUCCUGCUGCAUGGUGGGGGUUGGAAAGUUUCGGCGGUUGGGGAUGGACUCGCGGCUUAUCAGCUUGUUGGUGGGGUAGUGGCUUACCAAGGCUUUGACGGGUAGCCGGCCUGAGAGGGUGACCGGCAACAUUGGGACUGAGAUACGGCCCAGACUACUACGGGAGGCAGCAGUGGGGAAUAUUGCACAAUGGGCGGAAGCCUGAUGCAGCAACGCCGCGUGCGGGAUGAAGGACUUCGGGUUGUAAACCGAUUUCGCCUGUGACGAAGCGUGAGUGACGGUAAUGGGUAAAGAAGCACCGGCUAACUACGUG